GGCCAUAUUUAUUCUUGGAGGGCAUCUUAUGUUUAUGCUCAUGUUGUGGUCGUGCUUGAAAGCUCUAAAAGAAAGACAAAAGGAGUAAUAUUUUCAAAUCAUUCAAUUUGCUUCAUCCGAGAGCUCUACUUGCUUGAGCUCUACUGCCAAGACAAAAGGAACCAUGCCAACAUAAAGGUGAUCGAAGUUAACCAUAUCAGGUAUCUAAAUCUACGAAUUUUCAGGUGAAUCACUCAUUUUGAACAAAGUUCAAUCCUGU